rnacentral:rRNA from 1 species
AGUCGAGGGGUAUAUAGUGCUUGCACUAUAGAGACCGGCGCACGGGUGCGUAACGCGUAUGCAAUCUACCUUAUACAGGGGAAUAGCCCAGGGAAACUUGGAUUAAUGCCCCAUAGUAUCAUUAAGUAGCAUUACUUGAUGAUUAAAGAUUUAUCGGUAUAAGAUGAGCAUGCGUCCCAUUAGUUAGUUGGUAAGGUAACGGCUUACCAAGACAGCGAUGGGUAGGGGCCCUGAGAGGGGGAUCCCCCACACUGGUACUGAGACACGGACCAGACUCCUACGGGAGGCAGCAGUGAGGAAUAUUGGACAAUGGGCGCAAGCCUGAUCCAGCCAUGCCGCGUGCAGGAUGACGGCCCUAUGGGUUGUAAACUGCUUUUGUACGGGAAGAAACACCUCCACGUGUGGAGGUUUGACGGUACCGUAAGAAUAAGCAUCGGCUAACUCCGUGCCAGCAGCCGCGGUAAUACGGAGGAUGCAAGCGUUAUCCGGAAUCAUUGGGUUUAAAGGGUCCGUAGGCGGACAAUUAAGUCAGGGGUGAAAUUCUGCGGCUCAACCGUAGAACUGCCCUUGAUACUGGUUGUCUUGAAUCGUUGUGAAGUGGUUAGAAUGAGUAGUGUAGCGGUGAAAUGCUUAGAGAUUACUCAGAAUACCGAUUGCGAAGGCAGAUCACUAACAACGUAUUGACGCUGAGGGACGAAAGCGUGGGGAGCGAACAGGAUUAGAUACCCUGGUAGUCCACGCCGUANACGAUGGAUACUAGCUGUCCGGUCUUCGGACUGGGUGGCCAAGCGAAAGUGAUAAGUAUCCCACCUGGGGAGUACGUUCGCAAGA